rnacentral:rRNA from 1 species
ACCCGCACAAGCGGUGGAUGAUGUGGAUUAAUUCGAUGCAACGCGAAAACCUUACCUACCCUUGACAUGUCCGGAAUCCCGAAGAGAUUUGGGAGUGCUCGCAAGAGAACCGGAACACAGGUGCUGCAUGGCUGUCGUCAGCUCGUGUCGUGAGAUGUUGGGUUAAGUCCCGCAACGAGCGCAACCCUUGUCAUUAGUUGCCAUCAUUUGGUUGGGCACUCUAAUGAGACUGCCGGUGACAAACCGGAGGAAGGUGGGGAUGACGUCAAGUCCUCAUGGCCCUUAUGGGUAGGGCUUCACACGUCAUACAAUGGUCGGUACAGAGGGUUGCCAACCCGCGAGGCGGAGCCAAUCCCACAAAGCCGAUCGUAGUCCGGAUUGUUCUCUGCAACUCGAGAGCAUGAAGUCGGAAUCGCUAGUAAUCGCAGGUCAGCAUACUGCGGUGAAUACGUUCCCGGGUCUU